rnacentral:lncRNA from 1 species
UGGAAAAACACCAGGCGCUGGGAGGCCUGACGCGCGGCAUCUUGUCCAUCUGGCCAUUGGAGCUCCAUGCUGCGACGGCCGCGCAGAGGAGCUGGGUCCAGAGCGCCCGGCGCAUCUGCCGUAUCGCGGACUCGACGCCAGCAUCACUGCUGCAUGGAUUCAGACUGGGAUAGACUGCUCCCGAAAUUUGACUUGGAGAAGAAAGCGUGACGUGCACUUCCUGUGUGUGGCAGUCCGCGAGCCGUCCCCGGGCGCCCUCCUCCCGCCUCCACCACUUUGCGCCUGGCUUUCUCUUUGCCCGGAGGAGCCCUCCUCCCGCCUCCACUGGUGAAAUCCUCCUCCGUCCUCACUGCCCAGUUCAAGUCCUCGUCCUCUUUCCGGGCUUCCUGGUUCUCCAGAUGGGAAAAGAGGUGCUCCUAAUCCACGCUCUCGCAGGAGAAGCAGAGCAAGCGCGCAGGGAGUGCUGACUGUCCAUGAGACAUCAUCGGGAUUUCUAGGUAUUAUCACGCAGAAUUUCCACGAGGCAGGUACCAACGAGCUCACUGAGGCACAAAGAGAUUAAAUAGAUGUCUCUAGGUCCCCCAGCUAGUAAGUGUCAGGCUCAGAGUAAAGCCCAGAGAGGCUGUGCUCUUAGCUGCGGCACUCUCUUGGGACAUCUCGGUUGCCCUUUCCCCUAGAUUGCGGGAGUUUUGGGGGCCUGGACUAUGUAACGGCUAGCUUACAACAGUUACUUCACAAAGUACUUCUUAAAUGAAUGCAUUAACUAAUAUUCAACCUAGGAAAAAUGUAGGUUUAAACUUUUAAAAAUCACACAAAAUAUUCAGUCUUCAUCUAAAAUUUGCCAUUACUUAGGCUAGUUCAUUUGCUUUCUCCCGCAGGCGAGAUUCCCUGCUUUGGCCCAGAUGAGGUCUGUAAAGCCACAUGAUGUCAGGGAGCGCAGGGAAGGUAAUCCUGGCAUGAGAUGAAGCUAUGGGGCGCGCUUGUCCCGCCCUCUCUGAGGACAGCUGGGACUCUGACUUGAGGGCAGUUCUUUCUAGAGGCCUGGGCACCCAUUCACUUCCUCCUUGGCAUUUUCAUUUUCCUGUGGGCCCUCAGGGGACUUGGUUUUGCCCACCAGUUUCAGGAGUAAUUCCAGGAUUCAGGAUAGCAAACAUCAGGCAAGAUGUCACUAAUCUUUAUCCCACUCUUUCUGGCAGUGAUCUUUCAUCAACCACUGCUUCUCCCUCCGGCUGGUCUUUAACCUCAGAAUAUUUCUCAACAAAGCUAUUAGUAGUGGACUGGAGUUGACACUUGAAAUAUGUUUGUCAUCACCAGCUGGGCAUAAGCAAAGCAUUUAGAGGAAUCCACUCACACAAGUAAGCACGACCAUGGCUAUAGCAGCGGCCUGCCCAUGGGUCCCCGUCCUUAUAGUUUCAGUGCACACUUGCUGGAUUUCCAGCUACAAGCACCUGGAUUUCUCUGCCUGAGGAUCUUCUAUAGCUAAAAGAACCUGUUUUGGCACCUCCACACAAAAGGCUAGAAGUGCUGAGAAUUAACAAUAAACGGCUGCUUGGCUGGCGGGAGUUGGUGUAU